rnacentral:rRNA from 1 species
UACGGGGGGGGGCAAGCGUUGUUCGGAAUUACUGGGCGUAAAGGGCGCGUAGGCGGUUUGCUAAGUUGAAUGUGAAAACUCUGGGCUUAACCCAGAGCCUGCAUUCAAUACUGGCAGGCUAGAGUUCUGGAGGGGAUAGCGGAAUUCCUGGUGUAGCGGUGAAAUGCGUAGAUAUCAGGAGGAACACCGGUGGCGAAGGCGGCUAUCUGGACAGAGUCUGACGCUGAGGCGCGAAAGCUAGGGGAGCAAACAGG